GACCCUUCUGCUACAGGAGCCCACCAGAGCUGAAGUGCUUAGUGGCUCUUUUUAGGUUUUUUUUUUAAAACGUGUUCUCAGUAUGAUCUUCAGGCUGACCUCUAACUCACCAUUCUCCUGACACAUCCUUCCAAGGCCUGGGAUUACAGAGUCAGCCUCCGAAGCUCCUCCUGUAAAAUGUUUAUUUUAAUGUUAUUCCUCUUCACAAAGAAACUACUCUUUUCCCACGAACUCUGAAGAAAAAAAAACCUGCAAGUUAUGGUGGGCAUGCCUGUCUUCCAGCAGAGAACCCACUCUUAAGGAGCACAUACGGAGACAAUGUGAGCUGGAGCAUUCAAGAGGACUGAGACAUAGAGACAAGGUGCUGGACAGGCAAGAGGAGCCUUCCAGGAAGAGUCCUGGCCUGAGCAGAAUGGAAGAGAAUUCGUGUACAGUGGAUUCCUAUGAGACAGCUUCAUGAAGUCCUAAGGAGAAGGAGGCUGAAGCCUAUGGCCAAAUGACUGGCAGAAGCUGCUGAAGAACUGGUCCAUCACAUGGACAUUUCAUGGUUCUCUUAGAACAAGCAUCUGGGACUUCCUCUCGAUUCAGGUGUGUAGUAUCCUGAUAGUGUGUGCUGAUGGGACUUUUAUAAGCAGUCCUUAUUAAUCACAGCUAGCAGAGAGUAAUUUGAACACAGAACAAAAAAUAUCUGAAUAAAUGUUCAUUGUUGGA
rnacentral:lncRNA from 1 species